rnacentral:tRNA from 2 species
GGGUGAUUAGCUCAGCUGGGAGAGCACCUCCCUUACGAGGAGGGGGUCGGCGGUUCGAUCCCGUCAUCACCCACCA